AUAAAACCGGCGUUCUGAUAUUCAUCAACUCCGGAGCCCGGUUUAAAAAUAAUUUCUAGUCUCCUAACACGCUGAAUCCACUCGGACGCCUUGCUUAAAUAACUGAAAACUUUUGCGGUCCAGCCUGAAAUUGUCUCCGUGUUGGCACCUUAACACACCUGUAGAGUAUCAGGGGCUAGAGUGGGCCAGUAACCCCCUUGAGUUUUGAAAUCUUUACGUCUGUUUAGAGCAGUGGAACGACGGACCAUGGCCUCUUCAGCGGUUGGUUGCGCUGCUGGCUUCCCUAAAAGAUCAUAGGAGAAAAGAUUGCUUCUAAUACCAUCAGCAGAUCGAUGAUAAACCGACCGCUACAAUCAAGCUGAGGAUUCUUCAAGCUGCCUGGGGGUCCGCCCGACUCAUCCAAGUUAGGUGAGGUCAAGCAACUCCGGUGGCGGACCCAGAAGACAUCUCAAAGGACUCAAAUCCCGUCUGGUUGAAGUCGCUGUUAAACCAAACCCUGAACCACAACACACACAGAUCCCCUUACAUCCUCCUCCUUCAGCCCAGUGUAAACAUGUGACGGCCUGAUUUGUUAAUUGACUGGUUUAGCAGAUGGCUUCAUAUCUGACUAAUGCU